AAUGAACGCUGGCGGCAGGCCUAACACAUGCAAGUCGAACGGGUCCUUCGGGACUAGUGGCGGACGGGUGGGUAACGCGUGGGAACGUGCCCCUUGGUACGGAACAGCCCCGGGAAACUGGGAGUAAUACCGUAUGUGGUCGAGAGACGAAAGAUUUAUCGCCCAGGGAUCGGCCCGCGUUGGAUUAGGUAGUUGGUGGGGGAAUGGCCUACAAAGCCGACGAUCCAUAGCUGGUUUGAGAGGAUGAUCAGCCACACUGGGACUGAGACACGGCCCAGACUCCUACGGGAGGCAGCAGUGGGGAAUCUUAGACAAUGGGGGAAACCCUGAUCUAGCCAUGCCGCGUGAUCGAUGAAGGCCUUAGGGUUGUAAAGAUCUUUCAGGUGGGAAGAUAAUGACUGUACCACCAGAAGAAGCCCCGGCUAACUCCGUGCCAGCCGCCGCCGUAA
rnacentral:rRNA from 1 species